rnacentral:rRNA from 1 species
AUUGAACGCUGGCGGUAUGCUUAAGACAUGCAAGUCGAACGGUAACAGGUUAAGCUGACGAGUGGCGGACGAGUGAGUAACGCGUGGGAAUCUACCUUGUAGUGGGGGAUAAGCCAGGGAAACUUGGACUAAUACCGCAUACGCCCUAAGGGGGAAAGGCGCAAGUCGCUAUAAGAUGAGCCCGCGUCUGAUUAGGUAGUUGGUGGGGUAAAGGCCUACCAAGCCGACGAUCAGUAGCUGGUCUGAGAGGAUGAUCAGCCACGUCGGGACUGAGACACGGCCCGGACUCCUACGGGAGGCAGCAGUCGGGAAUAUUGGACAAUGGGGGAAACCCUGAUCCAGCAAUACCGCGUGUGUGAAGAAGGCCUGCGGGUUGUAAAGCACUUUCAGUUGGGAAGAUAAUGACGUUACCAACAGAAGAAGCACCGGCUAACUCCGUGCCAGCAGCCGCGGUAAGGUCGUCAUGU